GCAAGUCGAACGAGAAAGCACCUUCGGGUGUGAGUAGAGUGGCGCACGGGUGAGUAACACGUAGGUAAUCUACCUUUUGGUGGGGGAUAACCGGAAGAAAUUCCGGCUAAUACCGCAUAAGAUGGCAACAUGAAAGGAUGCUUCGGCAUUCGCCGAUAGAUGAGCCUGCGCGACAUUAGCUUGAUGGUGGGGUAAUGGCCUACCAUGGCUACGAUGUCUAGCUGGUCUGAGAGGAUGAUC
rnacentral:rRNA from 1 species